rnacentral:lncRNA from 1 species
CUCAAGCUGCAACUAUAUAUGCUUCUAUAUAUAAUCAUAUACAUCGUAGAUCACAUGAAAGGAGAAACAAAACCACAUAUAUACUUGAUACAACUAGAAAAAUCAAACAGCUAAUUACCCCUUCCCCCUCUUGCCAAGAAAACAAUCAAAUUUUGAAGGUUUGUAGUGGAAAAGCAACAAACUAAUGAACAAAGCCUAUUUGUUCAUGGAUCUAGUACUGUACUUUGAAUCUUGAUGAUAUUAGUUGAGCAAUUAACUAGAAGUUUUUCAAAGGUUUCUUUUCACAAAUCUUCCUUUCAUUCUUGGCCUUUUCUCAGCAUUAAGCUUCCUCACUUCGUAUCUUAUCUUCUUUGAAAACAAUCGUGUUCUUCUUUUCUCUCUAUACCUUGACACUCUUGCUUCUCGUCCUCCAUCGCUUCCUCCUACGCCUCCGUAUGAAGGAAUGUUAUUUCCCGCCCAUUGAAAUGAGAACCAUGAAAUCAGGCCAGGAACCAUCAAGAUUGAUUUCUGGUCGGGCUCCGUUUGUCCAAGGAGAGCCUUGAUCAGCCCAAGCAUUGAUCACAUCUUCAUAAUUAAGCCUCAAAGUAAUGCUCGAUGUUUUCAUUUUCCUGUUGUCGCAUUGAUCGUUUGACACCAUCGUCAUAUGCUCCAACUCGACUCCCGCCACCACUUUCUUCUCCUCCUCUUUAAUCAUCAUGGAGGUAUGAUCAUAAUCAAAGUCCCAAUGAUCUAGUGUUUCCCUAGUUGCAUCCAAAUCAAAACCUAACAUUGCUUCUACUUCUUUAUCUUCAACUUUCACUCUAUUUUCAUCAAAGCAAACUCCUAUAUAGUUAGAAUUAUCUUCAUCAUCUUUAAAGCUAUUGGUCAACCCCAGAUCUUCAAUCCUGCAAGAUGUAUCAUUAAAACCCUUCCCUAACAAGCUUUCAACAUCGGCAGCAAAAUCCAAGAACUCCAAAUCAUCAUUUGGGAGAUCAAACCCUUGAAGAUCAUCCAAAUUACAUGCUUCAUCUUCUUUCUUGUCUUCCCCUAUAAAAGGCAAGCUCCUAUCUUUAUCACUAGAAGCAUUACAUAACUCAGUUUCGAAAGGAUCAUAGACCGGAACACGAUAAAGAAGUUCUUCUUGUUCUUCUUCUUCCUCAUCAUCAAGCAACGAUGCUUCUAAAACGCCAAUCUCAGGAACUAAAGCAGCCGUGGAGUUCGCUCCCUCGUUCUUUCCUUCUAACUUGGGAGAAUAUUUAGUCCGUUGUCUUGGGGUACGUGCACGACGGGUGAACCCUUGGUGCCAAGUUGGUUCAGGCGAUGGCUCGCCUGAACCAAAGGACUUGGACACGGUCUCUAGAAGGACCCUCUCAUGCCGACCAGCCAAUUGGUUAGCUGAGUGAACCGAUGCGUCACAGCUUUGACAAAGGAAAGCGUCAUCAGCAGCGCAAUACCAUCGAGCCCGCUUUCGUACGCAGCUGUCACAAGCCCUUGCCGUUUUGCCACCAACGGCAUUCGCGGUUUUCUUUCCGGCAAGCAUGAGGGUUUGGUUAUGUUUCAAAUGACUAAAAGAAAGAGAUCAAAAUGGAAUGAAAAGAAGCAUAUGAAAAUUCAAACAAAAAAAAAAAACUAAAAAAGACCAGCUCGUACUAGUUAAUUAAAAUGACAAAGU